rnacentral:rRNA from 1 species
AAUAGAUACCCGGGUAGUCCACGCCGUAAACGAUGAAUGCUAGGUGUUAGGGGUUUCGAUACCCUUGGUGCCGAAGUUAACACAUUAAGCAUUCCGCCUGGGGAGUACGGUCGCAAGACUGAAACUCAAAGGAAUUGACGGGGACCCGCACAAGCAGUGGAGUAUGUGGUUUAAUUCGAAGCAACGCGAAGAACCUUACCAGGUCUUGACAUCUGAAUGACCGGUGUAGAGAUACACCUUUCCUUCGGGACAUUCAAGACAGGUGGUGCAUGGUUGUCGUCAGCUCGUGUCGUGAGAUGUUGGGUUAAGUCCCGCAACGAGCGCAACCCUUGAUCUUAGUUGCCAGCAAGUAAGGUUGGGCACUCUAAGGUGACUGCCGGUGACAAACCGGAGGAAGGUGGGGAUGGACGUCAAAUCAUCAUGCCCCUUAUGACCUGGGCUACACACGUACUACAAUGGCUGGUACAACGGGAAGCGAAGUCGCGAGAUGGAGCGAAUCCUAUAAAAGCCAGUCUCAGUUCGGAUUGCAGG